CCUACGGGGGGCAGCAGUCGAGAAUCAUUCACAAUGGGGGAAACCCUGAUGGUGCGACGCCGCGUGGGGGAAUGAAGGUCUUCGGAUUGUAAACCCCUGUCAUGUGGGAGCAAAUUAAAAAGAUAGUACCACAAGAGGAAGAGACGGCUAACUCUGUGCCAGCAGCCGCGGUAAUACAGAGGUCUCAAGCGUUGUUCGGAAUCACUGGGCGUAAAGCGUGCGUAGGCUGUUUCGUAAGUCGUGUGUGAAAGGCGCGGGCUCAACCCGCGGACGGCACAUGAUACUGCGAGACUAGAGUAAGGGAGGGGGAACCGGAAUUCUCGGUGUAGCAGUGAAAUGCGUAGAUAUCGGGAGGAACACUCGUGGCGAAGGCGGGUUCCUGGACAUUAACUGACGCUGAGGCACGAAGGCCAGGGGAGCGAAAGGGAUUAGAUACCCCGGUAGUC
rnacentral:rRNA from 1 species